UACGUAGGGGGCAAGCGUUGUCCGGAAUCAUUGGGCGUAAAGCGCGUGUAGGCGGUCCGGUAAGUCGGCUGUGAAAGUCCAGGGCUCAACCCUGGGAUGCCGGUCGAUACUGCCGGACUAGAGUUCGGAAGAGGCGAGUGGAAUUCCCGGUGUAGCGGUGAAAUGCGCAGAUAUCCGGAGGAACACCGGUGGCGAAGGCGGCUUCCUGGACCGACACUGACGCUGAGGCGCGAAAGCUAGGGGAGCAAACGGG
rnacentral:rRNA from 1 species